rnacentral:lncRNA from 1 species
GGAGCUCACGAUCAACUUCCUAGUGGGUCACCCAUCCCGGAAUUGCUCUAGCCACCAACUCACCUAACUUCGGAGUUCCUACGACUCCGAAGCCAGUGAGCUCCCAAAAGGCCUCAUGCUAGAUGGAUGGGGGUGUGCACAUAUAAGGCACAUCACCCCCUCUCCGUUGGUUGAUGUGGGAUCUUACAUCAUGAGUCCCUUCCCGAUGUCGUGGGUAAGAAAUGAGCUUGGCCCUUCACCGAGUAUUCGACAUCGG